CGACCCUAGGUCUAGUAGGGUUAGCCACUGAGUUUAAGCAUAUCAAUAAGCGGAGG
rnacentral:rRNA from 1 species